AUGAUCUGCACAGCUGAGCACUCGAGACCGGUCCAAAUGUAAAUGAACGUCUCUGCGCCGAUCUUUCCAUUGAGCCUUCAACCACGCUGACUGAUCCAGCUGGAGCAACAGGUGGAGGAGCCAUGCUACUUGUGUCUCUCAUAAUGGCAUUUAAACAUUUUAAAUGCCCGGCUCCACAGGGGGACCUGGCCCACACAAUCAUGAGCUUGGCUCACCUUGACAAUCACACCCCCACCCACCCCUCCAACUCUUCGGCCCUCCCAGAGGGUCCUAUGGCCCACCUUACAUUUUAGAGAUGGAGCCGGG